rnacentral:lncRNA from 1 species
CUGUCCUUUGAAUACAUGGUAUAAUCAUGAGAUAGUAUAACAAACAAAAUCAAGCAUUUUAAUUAUGACUUAUAUAAUUAUGAUCAUGAAUUUUAACAUCUUCGCUAGCCAAGGGUAACGAUCCACUCCCGCUCUCUUCACCCUUGGCGGAUUGAGAUACUAUUUCGGAGACACAAGGUAAGGAUUUUUAUUGGUUGCAGUAGAAACUCGCUGCAUCCAAUCAAAAAGCGCCUAUAACAUGAUCAAGUGUAAAUAUAGAAAGUGUUUGUAAACACUUGCCACGUGUUUAUUGUGCAACAAGUCUUUACAUCACUAAACAUACGACUAUAUUUAGUGACAACUUGAAUGUUUUUAAUCAACUAAUAGAAGUUCCUGUGUAUGUUUCAUGCACAAAUGCAUGAAUGUUGACGUAUAUUUUCGUUUCCUGCUUUACCAAGUGGGUAGAAUCUAGACGCUUCCGUGUUUUUACCUCUAAAUUGAAGAGUUCAAGUGCUACCAUUGGUCAAGAAUAAUGUAUUCGAUAUGGGCGUGACUUUAAUCUUCCGAUAGAUGGCGCAACAUAGAUAUCACAAAUGUUGGCUCAAUCUGCCAAGGGUGAAGAGAGCGGGAGUGGAUGGUAACCCUUGGCUAGCGAAGAUGGAAUUUUAAAGUACUUGUAAUCAACUCGUAAUGAUCUCAAUGGUAAUAGACAAGUAUUAUCAUUCAAUAUUUGUUUAUUCAAACAUGAAUUACAGCCAUUUAGGUUAAAAUGGGCCAAGAAUAUUCCCCCAAAAAAUACUCAUUAUUGUUCAGGGGUUUCAUUAUCU